rnacentral:rRNA from 1 species
GGUGUGACUGCGUACCUUUUGUAUAAUGGGUCAGCGACUUAUAUUCUGUAGCAAGGUUAACCGUAUAGGGGAGCCGCAGGGAAACCGAGUCUUAACUGGGCGUUAAGUUGCAGGGUAUAGACCCGAAACCCGGUGAUCUAGCCAUGGGCAGGUUGAAGGUUGGGUAACACUAACUGGAGGACCGAACCGACUAAUGUUGAAAAAUUAGCGGAUGACUUGUGGCUGGGGGUGAAAGGCCAAUCAAACCGGGAGAUAGCUGGUUCUCCCCGAAAGCUAUUUAGGUAGCGCCUCGUGAAUUCAUCUUCGGGGGUAGAGCACUGUUUCGGCUAGGGGGUCAUCCCGACUUACCAACCCGAUGCAAACUACGAAUACCGAAGAAUGUUAUCACGGGAGACACACGGCGGGUGCUAACGUCCGUCGUGAAGAGGGAAACAACCCAGACCGCCAGCUAAGGUCCCAAAGUCACAGUUAAGUGGGAAACGAUGUGGGAAGGCACAGACAGCCAGGAUGUUGGCUUAGAAGCAGCCAUCAUUUAAAGAAAGCGUAAUAGCUCACUGGUCGAGUCGGCCUGCGCGGAAGAUGUAACGGGGCUAAACUGUGCACCGAAGCUGCGGCAGCGACACUAGGUGUUGUUGGGUAGGGGAGCGUUCUGUAAGCCUGCGAAGGUGGCCUGUGAGGGUUGCUGGAGGUAUCAGAAGUGCGAAUGCUGACAUAAGUAACGAUAAUGCGGGUGAAAAGCCCGCACGCCGGAAGACCAAGGGUUCCUGUCCAACGUUAAUCGGGGCAGGGUGAGUCGACCCCUAAGGCGAGGCCGAAAGGCGUAGUCGAUGGGAAACAGGUUAAUAUUCCUGUACUUGGUGUUACUGCGAAGGGGGGACGGAGAAGGCUAUGUUAGCCGGGCGACGGUUGUCCCGGUUUAAGCAUGUAGGCGGAGGUUCCAGGUAAAUCCGGUACCUUUUAACGCUGAGGUGUGAUGACGAGGCA